rnacentral:pre_miRNA from 1 species
UGGACAGAUUAUUGUAUUCAAUUGUAUUCACGGCGUGAAAUAGGGGAUUAUACUGUUUUUAAAACGGAAAGUGAAUCAAUUAACAUAAUAGACUCCU